UACGUAGGGUGCGAGCGUUGUCCGGAAUUACUGGGCGUAAAGAGCUCGUAGGCGGUUUGUUGCGUCGGCCGUGAAAACCUGCAGCUUAACUGUGGGCCUGCGGCCGAUACGGGCAGACUUGAGUUCGGUAGGGGAGACUGGAAUUCCUGGUGUAGCGGUGAAAUGCGCAGAUAUCAGGAGGAACACCGGUGGCGAAGGCGGGUCUCUGGGCCGAUACUGACGCUGAGGAGCGAAAGCGUGGGGAGCGAACAGG
rnacentral:rRNA from 1 species